rnacentral:rRNA from 1 species
UAGCGACCGGCGCACGGGUGAGUAACACGUAUCCAACCUGCCGAUGACUCGGGGAUAGCCUUUCGAAAGAAAGAUUAAUACCCGAUGGCAUAGUUCUUCCGCAUGGUAGAACUAUUAAAGAAUUUCGGUCAUCGAUGGGGAGUGCGUUCCAUUAGGUUGUUGGCGGGGUAACGGCCCACCAAGCCUUCGAUGGAUAGGGGUUCUGAGAGGAAGGUCCCCCACAUUGGAACUGAGACACGGUCCAAACUCCUACGGGAGGCAGCAUG